AUGUCUAUAACUAGAUUAAAACACUUCUGCAUCACUCUGAAAAAGAGCUCUUCUCUGAGAAACAAUGAUGUUUUAAUGAGCAGCAGUAAACCAAGAUCAGGACAACAAGCAGAGAUGCUGGAGGGAGGAGCUGGAGAAAACAGGGCACACAGCAGGUGCUGCUAUCUCCCAGUGCAUGCAAGUCAGAGCCACAGUGUUCAUGUUGCAGGUCUUCCCAUAUCUGAGCUCUUGUGUUCAUGGUCCCCAUAUAGUCUCAGCACAUUGGAAUUUUAUAGUGAUUAUCACCGAAAAGAUAGUCUUACCAAGGAGAAAGCCAUCAAGGCAAGAAACCCAAUGGUCAUCUUGGUGUUCUUGUCAGUAUCUGUGAGAAAGAGAUUAUGUUAGAAUCUGCUUGACAAAAAUGCACCCAAGGUUUGUGGUUGAUGGUAAUUGAAC
rnacentral:lncRNA from 1 species